GACGUAGGGUGCAAGCGUUGUCCGGAUUGAUUGGGCGUAAAGAGCUCGUAGGCGGCUUGUUGCGUCGACUGUGAAAACCCGCGGCUUAACCGCGGGCUUGCAGUUGAUACGGGCGGGCUAGAGUUCGGUAGGGGAGACUGGAAUUCCUGGUGUAGCGGUGAAAUGCGCAGAUAUCAGGAGGAACACCGGUGGCGAAGGCGGGUCUCUGGGCCGAUACUGACGCUGAGGAGCGAAAGCGUGGGGAGCGAACAGG
rnacentral:rRNA from 1 species